rnacentral:rRNA from 1 species
UCGGUUGAUCCUGCCGGCAACCUGACGUACGGUAUGUACCUCACACGNCCAGCGAAAGCUCGUUGUACAAUACAAGGCGGACUGGCUCAGNUAACACGUAGUUAACUUAACCUAUGGAUGGGAAUAACCUCGGGAAACUGAGAAUAAUACCCAAUAACAAGUGCCGGAANAAUUGGGCCUGUGGUUGAAAUGAUUUAUCGCUGUAGGAUGGGACUGCGGCCUAUCAGCUUGUUGGUGAGGUAAUGGCCCACAAGCAUACAANGGGGUUACGGGCUCCUGGAGAAGGAGGGGCCCGNGAGAUGGGUACUGAGACACGGACCCAGGCCCUAUGGGGCGCAGCAGGCGAGAAACCUUGCAUUGGUUGCCNGAANAAAAAANGNCACGACAAGGUUAANUCCCGAGUGGNUUCCNUUUCUGCUAAAGGAGUCUUUUGUCNAGUCCGUAGAAAUCACUGAUGAAUAAGGGGNG